AAAGAAGCCUUCGGGUUUCAAGUAGAGUGGCGUCCGGGUGAGUAACACGUAGGUAAUCUACCUUCGGGUGGGGAAUAACGCAGGGAAACUUGCGCUAAUACCGCAUAAUGCAGCGGCACCACAUGGUGACAGUUGUUAAAGCGGGGGCUUUUCGGACCUCGCGCCUGAAGAGGAGCCUGCGGCAGAUUAGCUAGUUGGUAGGGUAACGGCUUACCAAGGCGACGAUCUGUAACCGGCCUGAGAGGGCGGUCGGUCACACUGACACUGACAUACGGGUCAGACUCCUACGGGAGGCAGCAGUCGGGAAUUUUGGGCAAUGGGCGAAAGCCUGACCCAGCAAUGCCGCGUGAAGGAUGAAAUCCUUCGGGAUGUAAACUUCGCAAGAAUGGGAAGAAUGAGCGAGUACUAAUACUGCUCGUGAUGACGGUACCAUUUGUAAGCUCCGGCUAACUCCGUGCCAGCAGCCGCGGUAAUACGGGGGGAGCAAGCGUUGUUCGGAUUUACUGGGCGUAAAGGGCGCGUAGGCGGCCAGCGCAAGUCAGUUGUGAAAUCUCCGGGCUUAACUCGGAAAGGUCAACUGAUACUGCGCGGCUAGAGUGCAGAAGGGGCAACUGGAAUUCUCGGUGUAGCGGUGAAAUGCGUAGAUAUCGAGAGGAACACCUGCGGCGAAGGCGGGUUGCUGGGCUGACACUGACGCUGAUGCGCGAAAGCCAGGGGAGCGAACGGGAUUAGAUACCCCGGUAGUCCUGGCCUUAAACGAUGGAUGCUUGGUGUCUGGAGUUUUAUAGUCUCCGGGUGCCGUAGCUAACGCGUUAAGCAUCCCGCCUGGGGAGUACGGUCGCAAGACUGAAACUC
rnacentral:rRNA from 1 species